CUUACAAGGUGAAGGUGCUGCCCACCCAUGAUGCCAGCAAGGUGCGUGCAAGUGGAUCCGGCCUUAAACCACUGGAGUGCCCAGCUCUCUGCCAGUGAAGUUCAACAUUGAUGGCAAAGAUGCAGGACCCAGACGGGAAGCCCAAGAAGCAAAUAUCUGUGACAACCAUGAUGGGACCUACCUGGUGUCUUAUGUGCCAGACAUGACUGACAGCUGAAGCAGACCUAGAUGCUGUUUGUGAAGCCUGUC